ensembl:lncRNA ING2-DT ING2 divergent transcript
GGCACCGCGGGGCUUGAUCAGGGAGGUAGGCGGUGCUCCCUCCGGCCCCCGGCGUCGUGUGCCCUGCGGGUUUCGUGGCCCUUCCCCUACGCUGGAAUCUUCUGUGUCAUUUAGGGGGAGGGGAUGCGGGACGGCAUCUGUUUGACAACGCAUUGGUCCCACAGACAGCCUUUAAAAACAACUGCUUUUGGGGGGUGUCAGAACAUUUAAGCACAGGACGUCGGUGAGGCUUCCUGGCGGAGUGGGGCACACGCCAGCUUUACGGGACUUUUUGCUCAGUCCUGCCCCAGGACUGCAAUCGGAGGGGACCUGGGGCAUGGAGGAGACGCGAGUGAAAACCUAGUCAGCGGGCGGGCCCUCGGCCCCAUAAUCUACGUGAUCUCCUAGUGGGGUUUAAUUUCGGUGUAGUGUAAAUGAGAUGUCAGGCAGAGGAGCUGAUUUUAAUUACAGAUGGACAUUUUUGAAAGAAAUGGGUGCAAAUAGAAUGAAUGCAUGGAUAAUUUUAAUGGAAUGCCUAUGUAAACAAGGCCAAUUAUAUUUUAGUACAACAUCUUUUCAUCACAGAAAUGAUAUCUUCAGGGAAAAGACUUCGAAAAAGUGCCUGAAGUGACACAACACAUGUUUUCUUCUGGUAUCUGGCUAAAGAAUGAAAUCUGGCAGAAAUAUUUAAUGAAGAGGAAUCUGAACAUAGCAGUUGAGAAAGAAAGAUUGGGAGAAGACUCCAGAUGUCGUAAAGCAAAGAGAGGAUGAGGCACAGGAAGCAGCUCUUAUUAUUUCUGUUGCACUUUGGCUCAGAGAACUCCAAGCAAUUGAUUCUAUCCUGAGGACAUAUUUUUUCAAUUUGAGAUAUAAUUAAUUUGUUUUCCAGUAAAAUAGAUAUUAGUAGAUCUAUGACAUACAGGAAACAAUCGAAAAUAGAGAUAAGUGGUAAUAAUACCUCAUUACUUAAGACAUCUUUUUCAGAAAAUUAUUCUUCAGUGUGUGGUGCAUUGGCUUUCUAGGAAAGAACGGGAGGGAGAACCCUGCUGACAUGAAUAAUGGCCUGGGGGAGAGGGGGAGAGAAGCAAGAGAAAGGAGCAGUUAAGAGGAAAAUGAUGUCAUAUGGAAAGAAGGAAAUAGAUCAGGGCGUCUUUAAGAGCUAAUAUCAAUUGGGUUUAGUGUCUGUAUUUAGAGGAUGGGAGAGAAGAGGUAUCAUCUAGGGUUUUGGCUUGGGCCACAGGUAGAUCUUGUUAAGGCUGUACGAAAUAGAAAAUCCAGGAGGUAACGCAGGUGUGUGGGGGAAAUGAUACAAAUGUAAAUCAUACAAGGAUAUGAACCCUGUAGAUUUUACAACUUUGAGCUCUAUCCUUCUUAGGCCUUCUCUUCUAAGCAGCAUAAACUACUGCUGCCUACAUGUUGCCUGUUCAUAAAGGCUGAGGCAGGGGAGUCGCUUGAACUCGGGAGGCGGAGGUUGCAGUGAGCCGAGAUCAUGCCAUUUCCCUCCAGCCUGGCGACAGAGCAAGACUCCAUCUCAAAAAAAAGAAAAGAGAAGAAAAAAA